AGGCUUUUGUUAUGUUUUUUCUUUGCUUUAUGCAAUUUAAUUUGGUCCAAAACUGAGUUAAUUGGAUUGUAAAUAAGUAAUUCUUCUAAUAAUUGCUUACAUGUUCUUUUUUACAUACAUAACACGACCUGUCUAUUUUGGGUUUCAAGCUUUCUACGAUAUAUAUGUAGUCAUGACAUUCAAUGAAAUCAUAUUCCAAGUCUUUAGCUCUUUUAAUUUCUUUUAGGCUUGCUUACAGUUAAGCUUGUACUAAUUCAGUGUUUUCUCUGUGCUUGGCAGUGUAAAUUCUAUUGAGGUGGAGGACAUUUCAGGCAGAGGUGGAGUUUAUAUUCUAUCUGACGGUGAGCAUUUAGGGCUCAUUCCAAAGAAGAUUUGUGUUCUUCUGUCCAUGAUUGAGAUGAUAUGCUGAUUCAGCUCAAUAAUAACAUAAAAGGUUGAAAUGAUACAAAGGCUUCAAGAAGGAAGACAAAGGAUUCUUGUUGUGGCAAUAGAUUUAGUAGGCAGAGAUAUUGUCAUAGAACGGGUUAACAUAGUUAUCGACUAUGAAAUGCCUGAUUCUACUGACACUUACCUGCACAAGGUAAAAUUCGGAGUACUUUGGAGAAGCCUGGAGCAAGAAACAGAAAAGCUGUCAGCACCCCCUUGGGCGCUGAAUGCCCAACCUGGCGUUCAACGCUAGCAAAGGGGUAAGAAGUCAGUAGCACAACUCCUCUCUGGGCCUUCAACGCCCAAUCUUGGCAUUCAACACUAGCUUGCUGUUCGAGCCAUUCACCUAUUGGACCUCCAAAGUGGAUUUCGCUUUCCAUAGGCUUAUCUUAUCUUAUAUUUGUAAUUUUUAUUUUAAAAUAAUAUCUUUUAGAUUUAGCAUUAAUUAUUAGAUUAUUAUUUAUAUGAGAAGAUCCACUAGGUUUAGGAGAUCUUCCCUUCCGUAUAUUUUCAGAUAC